rnacentral:rRNA from 1 species
AGUCGAGCGGCAGCACGGGUACUUGUACCUGGUGGCGAGCGGCGGACGGGUGAGUAAUGCCUAGGAAUCUGCCUGGUAGUGGGGGAUAACGCUCGGAAACGGACGCUAAUACCGCAUACGUCCUACGGGAGAAAGCAGGGGACCUUCGGGCCUUGCGCUAUCAGAUGAGCCUAGGUCGGAUUAGCUAGUUGGUGAGGUAAUGGCUCACCAAGGCGACGAUCCGUAACUGGUCUGAGAGGAUGAUCAGUCACACUGGAACUGAGACACGGUCCAGACUCCUACGGGAGGCAGCAGUGGGGAAUAUUGGACAAUGGGCGAAAGCCUGAUCCAGCCAUGCCGCGUGUGUGAAGAAGGUCUUCGGAUUGUAAAGCACUUUAAGUUGGGAGGAAGGGCAGUAAAUUAAUACUUUGCUGUUUUGACGUUACCGACAGAAUAAGCACCGGCUAACUCUGUGCCA